CACGUAGGGUCCGAGCGUUGUCCGGAAUUACUGGGCGUAAAGCGUGCGCAGGCGGUUGGGUCAGUCGCUGGUGAAAGCCCCACGCUCAACGUGGGAAUGGCCAACGAGACGGCCCGACUGGAGGCAGGGAGAGGCCGGUGGAAUUCCGGGUGUAGUGGUGAAAUGCGUAGAGAUCCGGAGGAACACCGAUGGCGAAGGCAGGUCUCUGGGCAUUAACUGACGCUGAGGAGCGAAAGCAUGGGGGAGCGAACAGG
rnacentral:rRNA from 1 species